ACGAACGCUGGCGGCGUGCCUAAUACAUGCAAGUAGAACGCUGAAGGAGGAGCUUGCUUCUCCGGAUGAGUUGCGAACGGGUGAGUAACGCGUAGGUAACCUGCCUGGUAGCGGGGGAUAACUAUUGGAAACGAUAGCUAAUACCGCAUAACAGUAGAUGUUGCAUGACAUUUGCUUAAAAGGUGCAAUUGCAUCACUACCAGAUGGACCUGCGUUGUAUUAGCUAGUUGGUGGGGUAACGGCUCACCAAGGCGACGAUACAUAGCCGACCUGAGAGGGUGAUCGGCCACACUGGGACUGAGACACGGCCCAGACUCCUACGGGAGGCAGCAGUAGGGAAUCUUCGGCAAUGGACGGAAGUCUGACCGAGCAACGCCGCGUGAGUGAAGAAGGUUUUCGGAUCGUAAAGCUCUGUUGUAAGAGAAGAACGAGUGUGAGGGUGGAAAGUUCACACUGUGACGGUAUCUUACCAGAAAGGGACGGCUAACUACGUG
rnacentral:rRNA from 1 species